rnacentral:rRNA from 1 species
UACAGAGGGGGCGAGCGUUGUUCGGAAUUACUGGGCGUAAAGGGCGCGUAGGCGGCCUGCUAAGUCAUACGUGAAAUCCCUCGGCUCAACCGAGGAACUGCGUCUGAUACUGGUUGGCUUGAAUUCGGGAGAGGGAUGCGGAAUUCCAGGUGUAGCGGUGAAAUGCGUAGAUAUCAGGAGGAACACCGAUGGCGAAGGCAGGUCUCUGGGCCACUACUGACGCUGAGAAGCGAAAGCAUGGGGAGCGAACAGG